GGGGCGAUAGAGAAGGGCGAGAAGAGCUCGCGGGUUCCUUCGAAGCUCGAUUCGAGGAUCGUUAGGCCUUUCUUGAGGGCGAUCGACAUCAACGCCAUGACCCAGAGAGUGGAGAUCGGCAAUCGCAUCUCCCCUCACCCUUCUACUACCGUAUCGCGGAAGCAGUUUGGGUUCCAUGGGACUAGAGAUGACGGUGAUGGUUCAAUGUGAGUUUUCCGGUUGGAUACGUGGGAAGGAACCAUCAAGGAUCAACAUCCUCUUUUCUCUCCCAUCCACCCAGAAUUGAAUCCUCCACCAGUCACAAAUCAGGUAGUAACAAAUCAGGAUCAACAUCAGUCUAAUCCCCAUAAUGUUGCAGGUAAGCAUUGUCAUGAACUUGGAAUCAUCAUUCAAGACUUCUCUUACCAAUAUGAGCCG